GAUGAACGCUGGCGGCGUGCUUAACACAUGCAAGUCGAACGGAAAGGCUCCUGCUUGCAGGGGUACUCGAGUGGCGAACGGGUGAGUAACACGUGGGUGAUCUGCCCUUCACUUCGGGAUAAGCCUGGGAAACUGGGUCUAAUACCGGAUAGGACGAUCUUUUGCAUGCCAUUGUGUAAAGUUUUUUCGGUGUGGGAUGAGCUCGCGGCCUAUCAGCUUGUUGGUGGGGUAAUGGCCUACCAAGGCGUCGACGGGUAGCCGGCCUGAGAGGGUGUACGGCCACAUUGGGACUGAGAUACGGCCCAGACUCCUACGGGAGGCAGCAGUGGGGAAUAUUGCACAAUGGGCGGAAGCCUGAUGCAGCGACGCCGCGUGGGGGAUGACGGCCUUCGGGUUGUAAACCGCUUUCGCUAGGGACGAAGCGCAAGUGACGGUAACUGGAGAAGAAGCACCGGCUAACUACGUG
rnacentral:rRNA from 1 species